AAAAGUGCGUUUGAAGCUGUAAGUUCACCUUUCUCCUGUUUAGUCUUUGCAUGUUUAAGAAAUUCAAAACUGGCUUAAAGUUGAUUGUUGUUUGAGUCUCUGUAGUUACUAUGAAUUUUUGCUGCUGAGAUUAUUGCAUAGAGCCAUUUUCAUGUCUAGAUUGCUUUAAGCCUUCAACAAACUAAUCCAUUAAGACUCUGUGGCUACUCGCAAACAGAUUGAGAAUUCACUUGCAUUAUCUCCCAAACACAAAAGAACAGCAACACUCUCUAUACAGAGAUCAUGCGAGUAGAUCUCAGAGUUUGUUACUCAGAUUUCUAUCACUACUGCUGGAACUGGUAUCACUAAGCGGUUCACUGUGAUAUGUAGCCUUACUUCAAGUCGUGUACCUUUUUGCACAAACAAGUUCUUCAACACUGGACUUGGUUUCAGUUUGGUAAUAGUGUCUUGGGCUGUGGAUGGACUCAAGGAGAUGAUUACUUAAAGCAUGCCUUUUCAAUGGGUUAUGGCUUUUAAGUUAGCAAUGAGAACCAGAGUUAUAUCUGUGGAAGCAAAAGUUACGACCAGUAUUUUAUUUUUGAAUGGGAAACGUCUUAUUAUCCUUUGUAAAUUAUAUGUUUCUCCAAUGACCUGAAGAAUAUAUAAAUUGGUUUAUGUUUGUGAGAAUCAAGAACAAACAAAUACUUGAAUAUAAAACAUGUUUA